rnacentral:rRNA from 1 species
UACGUAGGUGGCAAGCGUUGUCCGGAUUUACUGGGCGUAAAGAGCGCGCAGGCGGUCGUUCAAGUCGCGUGUGAAAGCCCCCGGCUCAACUGGGGAGGGUCACGCGAUACUGAUCGACUCGAAGGCAGGAGAGGGAAGUGGAAUUCCCGGUGUAGUGGUGAAAUGCGUAGAUAUCGGGAGGAACACCUGUGGCGAAGGCGACUUCCUGGCCUGUUCUUGACGCUGAGGCGCGAAAGCUAGGGGAGCAAACGGG